rnacentral:rRNA from 1 species
ACUCACUAGAGUACGAUAGAGGGAGGUAGAAUUCAUAGUGUAGCGGUGGAAUGCGUAUAUAUUAUGAAGAAUACCAGUGGCGAAGGCGGCCUCCUGGAUCUGUACUGACACUAAGGUGCGAAAGCGUGGGUAGCGAACAGGAUUAGAUACCCUGGUAGUCCACGCCGUAAACGAUGACAACUAGCUGUUGGGAGACAAUGUCUUUCAGUGGCGCAGCUAACGUUUUAAGUUGUCCGCCUGGGGAGUACGGCCGCAAGGCUAAAACUCAAAUGAAUUGACGGGGACCCGCACAAGCGGUGGAGCAUGUGGUUUAAUUCGAUGCAACGCGAAAAACCUUACCUACUCUUGACAUACUUGGAAGCUCUUGUAAUGAGAGCGUGCCUUUUGGAGCCAAGAUACAGGUGCUGCAUGGCUGUCGUCAGCUCGUGUCGUGAGAUGUUCCGUUAAGUCGGAUAACGAGCGCAACCCUUACCCUUAUUUGCCAGCGAUUCGGUCGGGAACUAUAAGGGGACUGCCGGUGAUAAACCGGAGGAAGGUGAGGACGACGUCAAGUCAUCAUGGCCCUUACGAGUAGGGCUACACACGUGCUACAAUGGGGAAUACAGACGGACGCUAAGCCGCGAGGUGGCGCUAAUCCUAUAAAGUUCUUCGUAGUCCGGAUUGGAGUCUGCAACUCGACUCCAUGAAGUCGGAAUCGCUAGUAAUCGCGAAUCAGCAUGUCGCGGUGAAUACGUUCUCGGGUCUUGUACACACCGCCCGUCACACCAUGGAAGUGGAUUGCACCAGAAGUAGAUAGUCUAACCUUCGGGAG